rnacentral:rRNA from 1 species
AACGAACGCUGGCGGCGCGCCUAAUACAUGCAAGUCGAGCGAGAAGACGUAGCAAUACGUUUGUAAAGCGGCGAACGGGUGAGGAAUACAUGGGUAACCUACCCUCGAGUGGGGAAUAACUAGCCGAAAGGUUAGCUAAUACCGCGUACGCUCCUUGGACUUCGGUUCAGGGAGGAAAGCGAUACCGUGGGUAUCGCGCUCUUGGAUGGGCUCAUGUCCUAUCAGCUUGUUGGGAGGUAACGGCUCACCAAGGCUUCGACAGGUAGCUGGUCUGAGAGGACGAUCAGCCACACUGGCACUGCGACACGGGCCAGACUCCUACGGGAGGCAGCAGUAAGGAAUAUUGCGCAAUGGGCGAAAGCCUGACGCAGCGACGCCGCGUGGGGGA